GACUGAGGGGACGUUCUUUAAAGGAUUCUACCUACGAGUAAUAUCAACCAUUUCCGAAGAAACGGUGAAUGGGAGUUUUACAGAUAUUCCACCAGAAUCUCGAGCAUGUUCAAAAAUGGAUGUUUGUCAUACAAGGAGCUCAUUAAACCGAACUUCGCAGGAAUUUAUAUGGAGACCCGAUUCCUACUACCAUGGAAAUGUAUAUUUCAAAGCGACGGUCGUGGUAACAUAUGAACAAGGGUAUAAAAUACUCUCAACAGAAGAAGGGUUCUCUACACCAAGUCAGAGUGAGG